rnacentral:rRNA from 1 species
AUACGUAGGGGGCUAGCGUUAUCCGGAAUUACUGGGCGUAAAGGGUGCGUAGGUGGUUUUUUAAGUCAGAAGUGAAAGGCUACGGCUCAACCGUAGUAAGCUUUUGAAACUAGAGAACUUGAGUGCAGGAGAGGAGAGUAGAAUUCCUAGUGUAGCGGUGAAAUGCGUAGAUAUUAGGAGGAAUACCAGUAGCGAAGGCGGCUCUCUGGACUGUAACUGACACUGAGGCACGAAAGCGUGGGGAGCAAACAGGAUUAGAUACCCUGGUAGUCCACGCCGUAAACGAUGAGUACUAGGUGUCGGGGGUUACCCCCCUCGGUGCCGCAGCUAACGCAUUAAGUACUCCGCCUGGGAAGUACGCUCGCAAGAGUGAAACUCAAAUGAAUUGACGGGG